ensembl:lincRNA
CGUCCCCACCCCCUCCGGGGACCGCGGCCCGGGAGCUGCGAGGCCGGCAGCGCGCGGUGGCGCGAGCGGAACCGCGGGGCAGCAGCGCCCCCUGCAGGUGCGGGGCGCCUCUGCAGGCGCCGCGCCUUUUAAGGUGGAACCGGCCUCAUUUCCCACCCGCGGGGGCAACUUUCCCGGCGCGCAGCUUGCAGCCUUCGAAUCAGCCGCUUGCGAGUCUCGGUCGGUCCGGAAGGCUCAGAAUCUGCUCAUUCCUGAUGCCAUUUCCUGAUCUCUUGGCCUCACUACCUGCGGGACCUUGUCUGCGGAUGCCCCGCCAGGCUAUCGAUCUCGACGGUCACGAUUGAUAAUUGCUAAUUCCCUGCGGGAGACAGCAGGAAGGAGUCUCCGAGGAUGAGCACGUUCAUGGUUCUCUCGGGUCUAAGCUUUCAGGUGGUGUGUGCCUGUGAACUGGUCGUCCCUCGGGAGUAAAUGUCAUCAGCGAACUCCAGAUUCUUGGGGGGAAUAAUCUACGCGCACCGGAGGAAGAAUGGAAUGUGCAAACCCUUUGCACUUUUCUCCUCGGCAUCUAGGAGCGCGGCGCCCGGCGGGCCGGGACGAGCGCGCAGGACGCGGGGACGCGUGGGCCACCUGCCCGUGGGAACGUCCCUGCCCCCCCCCAGGCCCGGCCGCGCCGCCCACGGGCGACUUUCUACGACGGAGGGGAACGGAUGCAGCUGGGGGCCGGGGUGCCCAUCCGACGCGGUGCCCCUCCGCGCCCCGCCACGCGCGUCGCCCCCCUGCACGGGACACACGAGGCCGCGGGCUCCGGCAGCCGCCUCCCGCGCUCGGGAUUCCCGGCCCAGCACUCCGAGUUGGCGAACACAGGUUCCGCCGCAGCUGGAGUUUGGGUCGCCAGUUCCGGCCUCGGGGACCUCCCUGGUGACCAGAGCAGACCCAGACGCGCUUGGGAUCUCCGGUUUCCCUCAGACAGUCCAGAGGGUGCCAGGAGAAACGCGGCGAGCCCAGCAAGCUCUCGGCUGAGCGCGCCCGGCCUCGGGGACCCUGGCGAGCAGCGGAGCCCGCGCUGGCGACGGGGACCCGGGUGCAGGCGCGCUGAGCGGCGGACGUGGGCGCCCCCGGCCCCCUUCUCCUGUCGAGGAUCGCGUGUGGAAGACCGUUUCUCGGUCAAACUUGUGUGAUCGUGUCGGCGGAGAGGGAAGGAAGGCAAAAGAACGACGGGAGAGAGACCUUUGUUUAAAAAGGAAAGAAAAACUAAGAAAAAUGACGCGGUCACAUAACGGAGAUCUAGGGAAGGGAGAAAAGCAAAGGUUCUGCCUCUUUGUUCUUGGACUUCCAAAAGUGUAGAUUUCAAAACGUGGAUGGGCUGGGCUGCCAGCCUGCUGGCGGAUUCCCCCUCCCCCAGUAUUGUAAUUGGCACCAGAGGGCAGUUCCGAGUUCUUCCUCCCCACCUGCCAGUAAUAAAUCUUCCAACAGCCAUAAUUUUCUCCGUGCAGUUGUGCGCCGCUCUUCUCCCUCCAGCCUGCUCGCCUCCGCAUGCACAUCCCGCCCCACGGAAAACUCCCGACUGCUCUGUUUGGAGUUUUUAUCGAAGUGGAGGACCUACUUUAUUCUUUCCCGUGUGUGCACUUUAUCAACCGUCUUUGGUAACCAGAUGAAGUGACCGUUUUUUGCUCUGCGUGUAUGCCCUUCUCUGUGAUUACACGGGCAAUGACACUAUUGGGCUGUUGAAACGGUGUUUUUAAGAUCAAAGCACCCAAAACGUGGAAAAGUGAGGCAUCCGCGUUCAGCGUGGUGGCUUCCCACUGCAGUCACAUUUAGGCAGAACUACUUUAUAUUACCUGAAAACGACCAGUGCAUGCGCUCCAUAGAGAGGCUUACUCACUUCCGUUUACCACCAACCACUUUGUCUGUCUGGUUCAAAUUAUGCAAGUAAUGCCUACUGAAGGAAGGAUUGGAAAAUUAGCAACCAUGCAGUUAUUUGUUUUUGGUCUUUUCAUGAAGUGUUAAUUAAAUCUGAUUUUGUGGGGGAAAAAAAUCAACUACAUAAAUCCAAGAUUUCCUUCAGUGGUCUUGUAAAAUAAUAUAUGAAUGAGCUGGGUAUGCUGGUGCAUGUCUGUAAUCCCCGCACUUGGGAGGCUGAGGCAGGAGGAUCCCUGAGUAAUUGAGGCUAACCUAAGUUACAUAGUGAGUUUAAGACCAGUCUGAACUACAUAGUGAAACAUUGUUUCAAAAAACCAAAAUCAAACCAAACUAAAGAAAUGACUAUCAUAAAAAAAUGUGCCCUCAGACUGGCUACACAACAGAGAUGAGAAAAAUAUCAACAGAAAGAAACAUUUCAAAAAGAAGGCUAAAAAACACUCAGAAAACUAAAAAGCAAAUGAAAUGAGAAUUAUUAAAGUAAAAUAUAAAAACACUUUACUUACUCCUAAUUUUUGCUGUUGAACCAGUUUUCUUUUUCUUUGGGUACCAGGGAUCAAACUCAGGACCUUGUGCUUGGCAGGCAGGCAGUUGUGCUGCUGAGCUAUAUCCCUGGCCGAACUAUUUUUCUUGAUCUUGCUCUCUGGUUCCAUAAAUUCCAGACUGUUCAAUGGAUUUGUAAUAAACUAUAAAUAAAAAUAGCUGUUGUUUAUAAUACCGUGUAAAAAUGUUGUUAAACUAAACAUUGAGAAAAAUCACUUUUAUGUUGCUACAUAAUAAAAAGGACUAUGUAGAAUUUUUAAAAAUGUGCCCCCAAAAGAUAUUUCAGUGAAAGUAAAUGAAUAUGGAUAUAACUAUUAAGUUUUUCUUUUCACUACUGUUUUCUCACUCUCAAAUGUAAGGCAUGCAGGACUCCAGAAAAUGCAUUUUUUUUUUUUUUUUUUUUUUUUUUGGUUUUUNNNNNNNNNNNNNNNNNNNNNNNNNNNNNNNNNNNNNNNNNNNNNNNNNNNNNNNNNNNNNNNNNNNNNNNNNNNNNNNNNNNNNNNNNNNNNNNNNNNNUUUUUUUGGUUUUUCUCCGGUACCGGGAACCGAACUCACGACCUUGCGCUUGCCAGGCAGGCGCUUUUGCCGCUGAGCUAAAUCCCCAGCCCCCCAGAAAAUGCAUUUUAAUUGGUUCUGAUCCUAGGAAAACUGCUGCUGGUUUUCUCAGAGUCACAGUUGUCAAGGGACAAUGGGAAAAUCAUUAGAGAAACAUUCUCUUUUCUGUUGCAUGAUCUGUAUGAAAGUCCAUCUUGGGAAAUACACAAGAAAGUUACAUUUACUUCAGAAGUUUGAGAGUACAAUAGAAUUGGGAGUACUGAAAAUGUGGUUCCUCGUUAACAAUGUCUUAGAAGUGGUCAAGAUGACUUUAACUCUGACUGACUCGGAUGACGUCAGAAAGGAAAGGUUUCAUGGGCAGGCAAGAUGUCAUGGACCAACCCCAGAAACCAGGAAGCUACUGACAAAACACACCUUUAAAAUUCCAACUCGGGGCUGGGGAUUUAGCUCAGCGGCAAAGCGCUUGCCUGGCAAGCGUAAGGUCCUGAGUUCGGUUCCGGUACCGGAGAAAAACCAAAAAAAAAAUUCCAUCUGAGUUAUUAUUUUUCUCCCCAAGGGCAUCAGUGUUCAUCACGAGAGGCAGGUUGGACAGCUGUGACAGUCGAUGGCCCUGUGGCUGUUGUAUGAAUGUGUAGAUGCGUGAAUGCUCCCCAUUUCUCUCUCUCUUUUGUUUUUGUCUUUUUGAGAAAAUCUCACUAUGAAGUUCAGGCUGGCUUUGAGCUCACUUUGUAGCCCAGGCUGGCCUCGAACUCACAGCGAACUUCCUGCCUCAGCCUCCCGAGUGGUAGAGUUACAGGCGUGUGCCUCCUUGCCCAUUUGUCUCUUUAAGGAAGAUUCAUGGACCGCCGUUGAGAAGGGUACAGCUUGUAGAAAAUUGCAGCCGCAAGGGAGAAGGAGGGGAGGCUAAAAAGAAGGAAUAAAACAAAUUCCAUAAUUAAAAAAUUGUUUGUUUUCUACUUUACAUUUGACUCUAGUCAGUGGUUCCUGCUAGCUGUUUAGAUGGAGUAAAGGGAAUGUCGCUUCAUAGGCAGAGGCGCUGAUACAAUUUCCUCCUCAAGGAGUGGAUUCCUAGCGUCCGAAGGAAACGAAUUCAAGUUGGUAUUAGAACUUGAAUUUCUCUGCCGGAGUGAAAAUUGCUUCCAUUAGGCACAAGUCACAGAGCUCUUGCGGCCCUGGCUAGCGGUAGAGACAGGGUCUCUGCAGCCGGCCCAUGGAAUCAAGACGAAGUGAUGCUGGGUGUGCUUCGGGAAGCCAUCGGAGAUCUAAUUUUUUUUUUUUUUUAAUGAAAGUUUCCUAAUUUUACAGUUCUCAUAAAUCUGGGCCACAUCUAAUUAAGGUCACUGGAGGAGGGGUAAAAACCUGAGGAGUGACCCUUUGGAGGUAGCAGAAUAGUUUAAGAAGGGAUCUAUUCAAUGGUGUGCAGGCUUUUGCAGAUUUUUGUUUUUUUUCUUCUUACUCACUGCUACUUCCUUCUGAUUGCAAAUUUAUAGUUCUCUAGGGAAACCUCUGGAAAAAGUAAUAGAUCAGACAGACUAUCCAAAAGCUUCAAAGUUAGUGUCUGACUAUAUAAAUGAAAAUCUUAAACAGCCACGAAAAAAGAAAAUCAGCUUUGCUUUAGAUGAAUAAAUAUGUUGGACAAAUUAAGGGGAAAGGUAAAAAUAUGCAUGUCACCCAAAAGUUUAUAAUUUAUUUAAUAUAGAAGAGUUUCAAUUCAACUCAUAAUACACAUGUAGAUUUAUUUAUAUAAAUAUAACCAUAUAAAUUAAAAUGAUUAGAAACCCAUGCAUGUUUCUUUUAUGAAAAUAUUAGAUAACUUUAAUGAAAUAAUUGAACACUAUAAAAAUUUUUAAAUUAUUAUUUGAGAAAUAGAACAUUAGGCUCAAAAGAAAAAAUAAUUUAUAAUGAUCCUUAAUUUAUCAUUAAGAAUUUGUUUUCUUUUGAGCAGAAAGUUUGUAAGCUUACCCUUUUGGCAUCUAUUUCUCUUUUUGUGUAUUUUGUUUAAUUUGUUUUUCUUGUUUUUUUUUUUUUUUUUUGUCUUUUUGAGACAGGGUCUCACUAUGCAGUUCAGGCUGACCUUGAGCACUUUGCAGCCCAGGCUGGUUUUGAACUCACUAUGAUCCUCCUGCCUCAGCCUCCUGAGUGCUGGGUUUACAGGCAUGUGCCACCAUGUCUGGCUGAUUUUAAAUGUUUACUUUCCUUGUGAACAAAUG